rnacentral:rRNA from 1 species
UAAGGAAUAUUGGUCAAUGGACGCAAGUCUGAACCAGCCAUGCCGCGUGAAGGAAGACGGCCCUACGGGUUGUAAACUUCUUUUGUACGGGAAAAAACCUCCGGUCGUGAACCGGAGCUGAUGGUACCGUAAGAAUAAGCAUCGGCUAACUCCGUGCCAGCAGCCGCGGUAAUACAGAGGAUGCAAGCGUUAUCCGGAUUCAUUGGGUUUAAAGGGUGCGCAGGCGGAAUGAUAAGUCAGUGGUGAAAUCCUACAGCUCAACUGUAGAACUGCCAUUGAUACUGUCGUUCUUGAGUACACUUGGAGUGGGCGAAAUGUGUCAUGUAGCGGUGAAAUGCUUAGAUAUGACACAGAACACCGAUCGCGAAGGCAGCUCACUAAAUUGUAACUGACGCUCAGGCUCGAAAGCGUUGGGGAUCAAACAG